UGCCUCUGUUUAUAUGGGUUACUUAUGUAUUGAAUGUAUUGAGUUAAAAGGAUAUGUUAAUAAAGUUGCAAAGUUUUCAAAAUAAAAUAAUGUAGAAAUAGAAAUGUUAUUGUCUACUGUUUUUCACCGGUGAAGAUGUUAUAUAUUCCUCGUACUGUUACUUGUGUCAUCAGAUUGAGCUUAAAACACCAGAUCCUGGAUUCCCGAUUAUUACUAUUUUGACCCCCUACCAUGGUAUAUUGAACCCCAUACUGUAGACCUCUCAUGUCAAAAAUUCUAGCUGUUCUAACUUCUUUACCUAGUAAUAAUAUUCCAAAUAAGUACCGUAGUUUGUAUGUCUUUUACAUGCUAUGCUUGAAAAGAUAUUUUGAAAAUUUUACUUUACCAAGGUAUUUUGACCCCCCCCCCCAUUAUGGUAUAUUACUAUAGACCUUAAAUUAAAAAAAAAUUCUGACUAUUCUAACUACGUAACAUAGUAAUAAUACUCCUAUAAGUCGUUUGUAUGUAUUUAACAUGCUGGAAAAGAUGUUUUGAAAAUUUUACUUAGCCAUUGUAUUUUGACCCCCUGCUGUAUAUUGAACCCCUUCUAUAGACCUCUCAUUUCAAAAUACAGCUAUUGUAACUCCUUAACAAAGUAAUAAUACUCCAAAUGAGUAGUUUGUAUUUAUUUA
rnacentral:lncRNA from 1 species